rnacentral:tRNA from 1 species
AGGGCCGUAGUUCAACGGUAGAAUAGAGGUCUCCAAAACCUUUGACGAAGGUUCGAUUCCUUCCGGCCCUGCCA